rnacentral:lncRNA from 1 species
UUCCUUUAGCCACAUAUUCUCAAACCUAAAAGGGGAAGACCCCUUCCUCGUUCCUCCACAAUCCAGCAGAAUUGGGCAGUGGUCAGAAACAAUUCUAGGUAAAAGACUUUGAAUUGCCCCACUGAAAUAGCAUUCCCAAUCCUCUGAAACUAUAAAUCUGUCCAGCCUUGACUGAGUCUGAUUGUUCAACCCACCCCUCCACGUGAAAGACCCCCCUUGCAAAGGGAAAUCCCUUAAUUCCAAAUCCUUAAUGAUCUCCGAAAAUCUUCUCAUUGCUGCCGACAGUCUUGAGAUCCUUUUCCUUUCUCCCAAAAAUCUAAUAACAUUAAAAUCACCCCCUAAACACCACGGGUCCUGCCACAAUCCCCUGAUUGUCCCUAAUUCCUCCCAGAAAUCCUCCCUCAACCUCCCAAUAGCAGGGCCAUACACCCCUGUAAAGACCCAACAGAAACCAUCCUCCACAUUUUUAAAUCGGCAAGAAACCGAAAAAUUCCCAAUUUCCAUUUCCAACAGCUUUAGAACUCUAGUAUCCCAAAAAACUAACACCCCCCCUGCCAUACCCCAAGAAUCAAGAGCUCCCCACUCCAAUGAUCUUCCCACCCCCAAGGACCGAACCAGACUAGACGACAUUCUUUGGAUUUUGGUCUCCUGCAAACAAACCAAAUCCGCUUUCUGAGUCUUGAUUAGAGAUUUGAUGAGCCUUUGUUUAUCUCUAUCAUUUGCCCCUCUCACGUUCCAGGAGAUAAUUCUUAACUUCAUUUACCCUCAGAGACUGACCCCCCCACUCUCUCUAAAUAGAGCUCUUCCAUGCCCCGAACUUUUAAAAUUAAUGGAGCACUCCAACCUUUUAAGUUCCUUUAUAGACUUUGAGGUUUCAACCUUGACCCUUUUAGCCCCAUACCUUUGGUUCUUCUGUUCUUUCCUCAUGAUCCAUUUCUUGAGCAUAUUUAAAAUUUCCUUUUCACAUCCCGUGGUUGGCAUGCCCAGAAAAUCACUAAACUGAGCAAGACAAGAGGAUUUCCAUUCCUCAACUGACUCCGUUCCACCCACAAUCUGCCUCAAAGAGUUUCUUUCAUCAAUACUCGUCUCUCCAACCAAAACCAUGGCCAUUUCCUCCCCGGAACAGGCUGCCUCAUCCCUUCCGUCAGCCAAUACCAUGUUCAGGGGGCUAAUGUCCCCAUCCACUCCAACCAUUUCCGUCACUGAUCCACAGCCGCGUCUUCGAGACCCAUUCGCCGCUCUUUUCCGACAGGAAAGAGAAGAAGAAGAGAAGGCCCGCACCCCCCGAGACCCAUUCGCCGCUCUUUUCGGACAAGAAAUAGAAGAAGAAGAGAAGGCCCGCACCCCCCGAGACACCAAAGGAGAGGGAGAAGAGGAAUACCUUGACGCUUCAGCCUGGAGAACUUCAUCGGCGCCUGAGUUCCAAGCUUCCAGCGGCUCAAACCACUCCAGCGGGACAGUCGCUGCUGCGCUAUCGUCCCCCGCGAUGAGCCCUAGCGGGUUCUCCACCCCCAUGCUGCCCCCCUCACUUAAAAGAGAAGGGCCCCCGAAAUGGGCCCGGCACAAUCCUCCCUUCACUUCAAACACAGGCCCAGCUCCCCUCUUAUCCUGUUGACUCUCAACUGGGCUUUCCCCCACCGGCCCGCUUACCCCCUUAGAGUCCCCUGUCAUCUCCAAACAGGCCCUCCUGCCACCGCCUCCAAAAACGUCCUCGCCUACAACUACCUUUUGGAGAUGGCUGUCCAAUCCUUCACCUAAACAGCCUCUCUUCCCUCCAGAGCUUGACACGUCUUCUCUACCAGUCUGCUCCUGGCCAAGGUCUUUCUCCACUCCCUUGCUCGCGCGUGGAUCACCACCAUCGUCACCUCUAACCUUCGACUCAGGCGACCCUUCACUGUAACUUCUCGGAACAACCAUUGAAAAUUUCGGGAGGACUUCCCACCACAACUGGAUUGAGUAGCACAUAGACCCGGUCACUAGCUACAAGGAGUCGGGAAGUCUUCUCCCGCUCGAUCUCACUAGGAUCCUAGCCCACUGCAUUUGGACCGAAUUCUCCGAACCUUCAUCCACUUCUACGAAUCCCCCACAGCAGUCCCCGAUUUUAAUGAGGACUUCACGGCUCCACAAAUGCAAAGGGAGACCCAAUACUCUCACCCACGACUCCUUGUAAGCCUCCUCCUUUACCAAGCACCCCGUCUCAUGAUGCCAUCUUUCCAAACUGAUGAGUCUCUCCUUGAAUCUUCUAGAUCCUCUCAUCAACACCCUUUCUACCUCCAAGACAUCCUCAAACUCAAAAAGGAUUAAAGACCCCCCAAAAAUAUGCACCUGCAUGCCAAAUCUCAACUGCCAAGUGCUCCUAGCCCACAACUCCAACACCUGAACCUCUGAAACUAACAAAGGUCCCUCCUCAAACUUCCCAACCAAACACCUCCUAAGCUUCUCUUCUCUGCCUUGCACAACUCCUUCUCCAAUCUGCAACCAAAUAGUCUCCUCCUCCAAACAUUCAUUCUUUUUUACUACACUCGCAUACAACAUCCUCUUGCUUCCAUUCUUCCCACUUUCAGCCUUCCGGCUGUUCCCAAACUCAGCCUGUGGCUCCACCUUUUUCUCAGAAAAAGGAACCACCCCGAGCGCCCUUAAAUUCUCAGCCAAUAUGAACCAUCCCCCAUGGAUUCCUUCUCCUUCUGGGAACACCAAAGAGAAGCUCUUUGUUUCUACCGUGACCACCUUGCAGAAGAUGAACCUUCCAGCCCCAUUCUCCCGGCAUUCCAGCCUAAAAAACCUUCCAUUCUCCUUCCACCCUUUGCUCCACCUCGGCAACUCAACAUCUCUGCAACAAGCUUCCACUCCUGCCAGAAGGCAGCUUAGACUGAGCUCCCCAAAUCUGACCCACCUGGAGUAACCUCUUCCACGCUCCACUAUGACCCCUCUCAAUCUCCCUCCAAGCCCCUCAAUAGAGAUCUCAAAGGACUUGGACUCCAUUGCAAACCACCGUUUUCCUUCUUCCCUCAUCUCCUCUCUAUACAGUUUAUAUGCUUUGAUUACCUUUCACUUUUCUAAAUGAAAGCACUUUUGUGACUUUCUUAAGUCAGUAUUGGUACAAAAAUGGUACAUCAAAGCGACUACAUUGGAGUGAGAAAGAAAUCACGUCUCUUGAAGUGAAGAUAGGAUGCAUAGGCAAUGCCAAAGAGUACUUUUGACUUCAAUUCAUCAAUUAAAGAGUACUUUUAUUAUAAAACCAUGGAACAUAUUAAAAGUAUCUAUGAUCUAUAUAAGUACAUUUCUAAUUGUAGGAUGGUGAUAGUGAUAAACUAUUUGGAUACAACGUCUCCUAAUAACACAUGUUUUGGAGCUUUAGUUUUGAGAUUAGUGCAAUCUAAAUAAUUAAUAUGAACAUAUUAGACACGCCUGGACCAUUUAAUUUUCAAAUCCUCCAAAAUAAUCUUCAGCAUAGUAGUUUACAAACUCCUUGGACCAUUGCUCGAAAUUUUGCUUCUACACUGGACCUUGCCACCAAACUUGUUUCUUGCUUUUCCAUGUCACCAGACCACUAAAAAAGGUGCAAUACCCAAUAGUUGAUCUUCUAUCAACUACAAAUCCAACAUAAUUUGCAUCUGUGUAUGCUUUAAGUACUAGUCGUGAAUUUCGUUUAAAUAGGAUGCCCUUUCCUAGAGACCCCUUAAGGCCCUGUAGUACUCGGUUAGCAAUUUAUAGAUGAACCUUUUUUGGACUAUGCAUGAAUUGGCUAAUCACACUCGUAACAUAUACUAUAUCUGGUCUUGUGUAAGAAAGAUAAAUGAGUCUUCCUACCAGACAUUGAUACAUCUCUCUAUUUACUACAGUAUCUUCAACCUUGUGAAGCUUAUGAUUAGGAUCUAUUGGUGUGCUUGUUGGUUUACAUCUCUCUAGAUAGUCCAUGCCAUAUGUCCGAGUGUAUCCUUUAGUUAUCAGUUUUACCUUGUACCUCUCUAAGGUCCCUUUUGCCCUAUACUUGGCAGUAUAUAUCCACUUACAUCCCAUUGGUUUUUUCCUUGCAGACAAAUCUACCAUCUCCCAAGUUUUAUUCUUUUCCAAGACCUCUAUUUUUGCAUUCAUGGCUUGUCUUCAAUUUUCAUUAGAUAAAACCUUAGAUAGAGUGAUAGGAAUAUGAAUAUUUAUCUAACUUGUGAGAAAACUCUUAUGGGAUGGAAACAACUUUUUGAAUGACAUAACAUGAGAAAGUGGAUACAAAGGGGGUUUAGUGCGUUCCCUUGUUCUUUUCUUGAUGGCAAUAGGGAGAUUUUGGUCUAUAGAUUUUUUAGACUGAAGUUUUGACUUGGUUUGUGAGGAAGGAUGAGAAACUGUUUCCUCAUUUCCAGAAGCCAGUUCAAAUUCUUGAACUUGUAUACGUUUAGGGAUUGUAACUUCUUCCUUGAGUACACCUUGCUAGUCAUUCGAUCUUUAGGAGCAGGCUCAAUUGGUGGCGACUCGGGUUCAGAGAAGUAGGGUGCGGAUGUUGGACCAAAGACUGUAAGAGGGUUAAUGAGAAAAGGGAUCAAUGAGAUAGGAAUCCUUAUCCUUGUCAUCCUUGAUCGAAUUCUCCCCCUCAAGACAAGGAGCGGGAAAGUAUGACUCACUCUCGUUGAAAGUAACAUUUGUUAAGACAAAUUUUUUUUUUUGGAUGGUGGAUGGUAACGCUUAUACCCCUUGUGAGUUGAGGAAUAUCCCACAAAAAUACAUUUGAUUGCUCUUGGGUCCAAUUUUCCCUUGUUUAGACUGUGAACAUGCACAAAUAACACACCCAAAUAUCUUAGGAAUGAGAUGGUUUGUGGUUCUCAUAUUAGGAUAAAACGAUGAAGUAUGUCCAUGGGACUUUUGAAACCAAAGACUUUGGAGGGUAACUGGUUUAUGAAAUGUGUGGCUGUUAGGAUGACUUCCCCCUAAUAAAAUUUAGGUACAUGCUUUUGAAAUAGAAAGGCUUGUGUUACAUCAAGAAGGUGACCAUUUUUCCUCUUAGCAACUUCAUUUUGUUGUGUAGUGUUGACUCAUGAUGAUUCCUGAAUUAUUCCUUCAUGUUGAAAGUAUAGAGUUAGGACUUGAUUGAAAUAAUCUCUGGCAUUAUUGGAUCGAAACCAAUAGACUCAAGAAAGUGAUAGGGAAAGUGGUCUCCACUGAUUAGAAUGCAUUUGUAAUGGGCAGGCAGAUCCUUGAUGCCUCUUUAAUUGCAAAUGAGGUAAUUGAUGCAUGGCAAAAAAGGGAAGAGAAAGGUCUCAUCUGUAAGCUGGAUAUAGAGAAAGCCUACGAUAGUUUAAAUUGGCAGUUUUUGAUGAAAGUCAUGAGAAAAAUGGGGUUCGGAUCAAAGUGGUUGGGUUGGAUGUGGAGUUGCAUAUCCACAGCCAAAUUUUCGGUGUUGGUGAAUGGAGUGCCAGUCGGUUUCUUCCCAAGUUCUAAGGGGUUGAGGCAAGGAGAUCCCCUUUCUCCUUACCUCUUUGUGAUGGGAAUGGAAGUGUUGAGCAAUCUUAUUAGGAGGGCUGUUGAAGGGGGAUUUUUGUCAGGGUGUAGGAUCCGAGGAGGAGGAAGACAACCGGUGCAUAUAUCCCAUCUGUUAUUUGCUGAUGAUACUAUAGUUUUUUGUGAGGCUAGGAAGGAGCAUCUAACUUAUUUGAGUUGGAUUUUGUUUUGGUUUGAAGCCGCGUCAGGGUUAAGGAUCAAUUUGGAUAAAAGUGAAAUAAUCCCAGUUGGCGAGGUGGAUGAGAUGGAGGAGUUGGCAGUGGAAUUGGGCUGCAAGGUGGGUUCUAUGCCUUCUGUGUAUUUGGGGAUGCCCUUGGGGGCUCCUAACAAGAAUACCUCCGUGUGGGAUGGGGUGGAAGAGAAGAUGAGGAGAAGACUUGCGCAUUGGAAACGCCAAUAUAUUUCCAAAGGUGGGAGACUUAUUCUCAUAAAGAGCAUGAUGGUUAGUAUGUCAUUGUAUCAAAUGUCUCUUUUUCGUAUGCCCAAGUCGGUUGCGCGAAGGUUAGAAAAAUUGCAAAGGGAUUUUCUUUGGGGAGGAGGAAACUUGGAAAGGAAAGUGCACCUUGUUAAUUGGGAGGUUGUUUGUACGGAGAAGGGAAAGGGGGGGCUUGGCUUAAGGAAGCUAGUUCCGUUGAACAAAGCCUUGUUGGGUAAAUGGAUAUGGAGGUUUGCUUGUGAAAAGGAAAAUCUGUGGAAGCAAGUGCUUUUGGCGAAAUAUGGGCAAGAGGGUUUUGGUUGGAUGACCAAAAAGGCUAAUGGGACGUUUGGAGUAGGGGUUUGGAAGGAGAUUUUGAAGGAAAAAGAUUGGUGUUGGGAAAAUAUGGCUUUUACUAUGGGGAAUGGUACCAAAAUCAGAUUUUGGAAUGAUCUUUGGUGCGGUUGUACAGUGCUGUCUCAAAGGUUUCCUCACCUUUAUGGGAUGGCUGCUCAUAGAAAUGGCACAGUAGAAGAAAUGUGGGAUCAGAAUGUCGGCCAAGGAGAUUGAGAUUUAAGGUUUGUGAGGGGUUUCAAUGAUUGGGAGUUGGAUAUGGUAGGUAAUUUGCUUCAUAUUUUGAGGGGAUACAAACCUACCUUAGAAGAGGAUGCAGUUUUUUGGAAAGGGGGAAGAAACGGGCAGUUUAAAGUUAAAGAAGUC